GCCUGCUUUCCAUGAUGUACUGAUGUCAUUGAUGUGCCUUUUGUGAUGAGAAAGGAACUAGGUAUUGCAGAUGAUGUUACGGUGGUCAUUUUCUACAUUUGAGGACAGAUUGCCAAGAUAAAUAGAGGAUGCAUGGAUAAGUUGUUUUUGGCAAGGCAGAGAAUGGGACUACUACCAAGAUAGUUUUACAUUAAGUUUUUAGAAAGCCAUUUUCAUGGUCAAUGUAUAUAAAAUGAUGUGAUGUCAUUUUCAGGGUCAAUGUAAAGAAAAUCAUGUGUUUACUCUUUCGAUUUUGUUCCAUGUAAUGCAACCAAUCAGAUUCAAUAUAUGAG